CACGUUCACUCAUAUAUGCUACUUCUAUUCCGGAAGUACCAUCCACAUAUAUCCACCCAUUCCAUCUCCAGAAUCACCCAAAAAUAUUCUACUCCUAAUCCGGGAGAGAAUAACCAAAAAUAUUUCUGUUUUCCCCUUGUGAAAUAAAUGCUCAAGUUAUCUUGUUACUACCACUUGCUAUAUUAUCUCAAGAGAUGAAUGCUAUGAAAAAAAAGGGAAAUACGAGGAAAUAAAAAGGAGCAAGUGCU
rnacentral:lncRNA from 1 species